UACGAAGGGGGCAAGCGUUAUUCGGAAUUAUUGGGCGUAAAGGGCGCGUAGGCGGCCUGACAAGUGGAAGGUGAAAUCCCUCGGCUUAACCGAGGAACUGCCCUCCAAACUGUUUGGCUUGAGACCGGGAGAGGUGAGUGGAAUUCCCAGUGUAGCGGUGAAAUGCGUAGAUAUUGGGAGGAACACCAGUGGCGAAGGCGGCUCACUGGACCGGUACUGACGCUGAGGCGCGAAAGCGUGGGGAGCAAACGGG
rnacentral:rRNA from 1 species